UGGCCCGUAGCUCAAUUGGUUAGAGCAGCGAACUCAUAAUUCGUUGGUUUAGGGUUCGAGUCCCUACGGGCCAACCA
rnacentral:tRNA from 1 species